rnacentral:lncRNA from 1 species
UAGGCGAAGGGUGUUCGAGGGGCGUAGCGGGGACUGCUGCUACUGCUCCAACCACGACGAUCGCGAUGGCAACAGCUGAGGUUGCUUCUGUUAGUGCUUCCAGUGCUAGUGCUACUGCAAGUGAUGCUGCAGGGAGUUCAACGUCGGCCUCAUGAGUACAGAUUUCACUCCUUUUUAUAUUAUGCUUCCUUGCUACUAUUAUUUGGUUCGGUGGCUAACAGGGUGAGAAAUAAAGUCAAUUAGUGGACUCGAUGGAUCCUUUAAUUCUUAAUGAUGAUGAUACAAGUAUAGAACCACAAACACAAGCUUGUGAUUCAUGAGUCAAAGUUUUUUCUUCUUCUCAUUCAAACAAUAUAUUCUUAAUUCAAUCGGAUCAUGUAUCUUCCUCUAUUCAUUAUUACAUACAAGGAGAGAAGAGCGGCUAGAAUACUGUUUUGUGUGCAUCAAUCAAUCAAAGUAGUGUAACAUACCCUUUUGGAUAUUUGUCUGCAUUUGUGAUUAGAGCAUGUUGUAAAGUAUAGUGAUUGGAAAAGUUUAGUUUCCCAUCUUUUAAUCACCUUUCAAAUGAUGCACAUAGCUGAAGUUGAUCCCUAAUUUCUGCUCUCUCUCUCUCUCUCUCUCACACACACACACAUACACACACACACAAUCUUAGAUAUAUCCUUGUUAAUGAUCUUCUCCUGUUAAUAUCUCAUUAUUCAUUGUCAUUCAUAGUCCUAAUUGACAUUUUCCUUAAAUAUAAAAUCAAACAAACAUCAAAGGCGGCAGUUUAGCCAGUUUUUAUGAGAAUAAAAGUACCUGCGAAAAGAGAGAGCACAGCGAUCAGCACCAGCUGCUCCUGUAAUGGAGGUCCGCCCUGUGUUGGGAAGGUGCUCGUUCUUUAAUUCACACCCAAGCAUUUGCCUCCGAGCAACUCGCCACCUCCAAUUAAAAUAGCAUUAGGUUCCUGUCAUGCCCAACUUUGUGUUUUUUGGAUGAGAAGAAUGAUCGAGGUGAUCACCAUCUUUAUGCUGAUAGUACAUCAGCCAAGGUGUAAAGGUAGAGAAGAAU